GCAUUUAAAAUAAAUGACUCAACUUUGAAAACAUCCUGUAUUAACCAUAGGUUUGAAAUUUAUAUAUUUAAUGAUAAUAUGCAUUAAUGGUUAAACAUCAGAAAUUAAACGUGCCAGUAGUGGUGGGCAGAUUCUGAUAACGAAAAACUGGCAUCGGUGAUUUGCUACUAAAUAUAAUAAUGUCAUUUAAUAGUAUAUUGUUAGUUUGAACUACAUAUUUGUUAUUACAGUUUCAAUGAAGUAUAAAAGUUUAUGCUAUAUUGUGUAUUUUAAUAGAAGCAAUGUAACAUUUUAAAAGUGUCAAAAUUUUUGCAUUUUUUGAACCAGGUAUAUAUUUUCAAGUGUCAAUGUCUCUGAUAAAAUGAACUGACAUUGAAGAACCUGAUGAAUUAUAUUAAAAACGACCUAAAUAAUCCCAAUUCGCAUGACUAACUGCCAUAUUUUGAAAACUGCCCCUUUUUACAUGGGAAGAAUUUUGUUUUCCCACUGCUGUAUCUAUAUUAAAAAAAAGUACAAAGACAUGCAGAUAAGACAAACUAUAUAUACGUUACAAUUGCAUACAAUCGAGCGAAAACAAUUUGACGAGUCCGCCGGCGAUGCACAAUGCACCGUGUGCGUAAACUGAUGAAGUUGGGAAGUUACAGGUACGUGCAAAUCACCAACGAUGGAGACUCCAACAAAAUUCCGGAGCAGUGGUGGAAGUGUUCUAGUGUCGCCGUAAAGUUCUGGUUGAUCUUUUUCAUGUUAGGUGGAUACUUGUUUUAUCAGGAUUAUUUUGAGAUACGGGCCUUGGCUAUGAGGCAUUUGGUGAGGCUCAGUGAGGAGCCGCAACUGCCGGAUGAGCUGAGUUCGCUGAAUGGGUAUUUGAUAAAUACACCAGGUUGUCGGAUUCCCGAUAUGCAACCGUUUGAUCCCAGUGUGAAGAAGUACAUAUACCCGCCCGAAGAAGAAUCUUGCAACGAAGACGUUCCGCCUCUCUUUGAAAGUAACUUUUCAGCAGUUUAUAUGAAGACUGAACUAAUGCCCCUGUAUAAAAACAUGACAAAUUCACAAACAAUCACAUGCUUUUACGAUGAAUUUACUCGAAUAGAACCGGAAAACAAGAAGCCCGAUACAGAGGUGAUAUUCACCGGUAAUUGGAAAGAAAUCAGGAACGAAGAGUUCUUUCCCACCGGAGAGUUUGUUAAGGUUAAAUGCCAAAACGACCUAAAUAAAGUUAUUUAUGAAGAUUAUUUCGCGUUUGUUCCAGCAAAGAGAAUAGAGACUGACGAUGAUCCAGUGAAAAAUAAACCAAAUAUUUUAAUUAUUGGCUUGGAUGCCAUUUCGAGAGUAAACCUGCAUAGGCAGCUGCCUUUAACCACACGCUUGCUAAAAGCAAUGGGAGCGAUAGAAUUACUUGGAUAUAAUAAGGUGGCUGAUAACACUUUUCCGAAUUUAAUACCGGUUUUUACCGGUUUAUUUGAAAAAGAACUAGUAGAUUCCUGUUACCCGAAUCAACAAACCCAUUUCGAUACAUGUCCUUUUAUUUGGCACAAUUAUAGUAAGCAGAGCUACGUGACUGGUCUGGGUGAGGAUUGUGCCUGGAUAGGCCUUUUCAAUUAUCAAAAAGUCGGAUUUAGGAAGCAAACGUCUGAUUAUUAUUAUACGACUUUCAGUAGGCAGGCCGAAUUGAAUAUAGGGAGCAAUAAGGAUUUUAACUGUGAGCAAUGCGUUGGCGGGAGACGUUCUUAUAAACUUAUUGUGGAGUAUAUUAAAAAGUUUACUAUGCGAAUGAAUCUCUCGAAAACUCCUUAUUUUGGGUUCUUUUGGGGUAACAGUUUGUCCCAUGAUUACUUAAAUAGGCCGUCAAUGGGCGAUCCGGACUACCAUCAAUUAUUCAAAGAAUUAAAUGAAACCGGUAGCUUAAAUAACACAGUACUAAUAUUUAUGAGCGAUCACGGAAUUCGAUGGGGCGACAUCCGGAAAACGUAUCAGGGACAAAUGGAGGAAAGACUCCCGUUCGUCAUCAUGAAAUUUCCCGAAUGGUUUAAGCAAACGUACCCCGCUGCCGUUGGUAAUUUCAUCAAAAAUACCCGAAGGCUUACGACCCCUUUUGAUCUACAUGAAACUUUAAAACAACUACUCGAUGUCGAUCAGUUGCUUAAUGUUCGAAAAAUUAUGAAUGAAAAAUCAAGAGGUUAUAGUUUAUUUGAUGAAAUACCAAAACAACGCACAUGCGAGGACGCAGAGAUUGUCAGCCAUUGGUGUACUUGUCAGCAAAGUGUGGCAAUCGAGACGGAUAACAAAAUAGUAGUGUCGGCUGCAAAGUUCGCUGUCGACCAUAUUAAUUCGCAAUUGAAAGGUUAUGGCGAUUGUGCUAUUUUGGAUUUGGCGAAUAUUACUCAGGCUAGGGUGCUUACUUAUGAUGCCGAGCAUAUAACGAGCAAGGAAUCCGUUAAAGAUUAUACCAUCACUUUGAAUACAACGCCUGGAGAUGCCAUUUUUGAGCAAUAUUUAGAGGCAUAAAUUGCAAAUACGGCAUUCAUGGCCUCCGAUGGGGAGAACUUCAUAAAACUCAAGGACAAAUGGAGGAUCGUCUGCCUUUCCUCAUCACCAUCUUUCCCGCAUGGUUUAAGAAAACUUAUCCACGUGCCAUAGCAAACUUCAAGAGAAACUGUAAGAUGUUAACCACACCAUUAAAUUUUUACGAGACGUUAAAAGACCUUGCUGAUCUGGAUAAUUUAAGAUCCUCUCCAAAUAUAUCGGAUUUUUCUCGAGGGCCUCUUUAAAGAAAUUCCAAUAACGCGCACAUGCAGAGAUGCUGGUAUUAUAGACGAUUGGUGUACCUGCCAGGAAGAGCAUGACGUUACGCAUAACAAAGAAUAUGCAGCAAAUGUGCUUGGCAGUGAUUGUUGAAAUCGAC